AUUGAACGCUGGCGGCAUGCCUUACACAUGCAAGUCGAACGGUAACGCGGGGGGCAACCCUGGCGACGAGUGGCGAACGGGUGAGUAAUACAUCGGAACGUACCCAGUAGUGGGGGAUAGCUCGGCGAAAGCCGGAUUAAUACCGCAUACGACCCAUGGGUGAAAGCGGGGGAUCGCAAGACCUCGCGCUAUUGGAGCGGCCGAUGUCGGAUUAGCUAGUUGGUGAGGUAAAGGCNCACCAAGGCUACGAUCCGUAGCUGGUCUGAGAGGACGACCAGCCACACUGGGACUGAGACACGGCCCAGACUCCUACGGGAGGCAGCAGUGGGGAAUUUUGGACAAUGGGCGCAAGCCUGAUCCAGCCAUGCCGCGUGUGUGAAGAAGGCCU
rnacentral:rRNA from 1 species